rnacentral:sRNA from 2 species
GUAAUAGAAAGCUAGGGUUCCGAUUUUCCGGUGGUUGCGCCGGCUAAAAAUGACUGGUCCGAGAGCUUUCGACCUCACAGUGAGGUUACACGGCGGGAUAAAAGCCCGGGAGAC